rnacentral:rRNA from 1 species
CGGAGGGUGCAAGCGUUGUCCGGAUUUAUUGGGUUUAAAGGGUGCGUAGGUGGCUCUAUGAGUCAGUGGUGAAAGUCUGCAGCUUAACUGUAGAACUGCCAUUGAUACUGUGGAGCUUGAGUACUGAUGAGGUAGGCGGAAUUGAUAGUGUAGCGGUGAAAUGCAUAGAUAUUAUCAAGAACACCGAUUGCGAAGGCAGCUUACUAAGGAGUUACUGACACUGAGGCACGAAAGCGUGGGGAUCAAACAGGAUUAGAUACCCUGGUAGUCCACGCCAUAAACGAUGAUUACUCGAUGUAUGCGAUAGACAGUAUGCGUCCAAGCGAAAGCGUUAAGUAAUCCACCUGGGGAGUACGACCGCAAGGUUG